UGCUCUUAAAGUCAAUGACAGAUCGAUAGUAAACUGUAGAUGGUAGGUGUAGUAGCUUGAAGGAAAGAUGAAAAGUAUUAAUAUAUGGAGUUUAAA
rnacentral:rRNA from 1 species